UGGCGCAUACAAAGAGAAGCGACCUCGCGAGAGCAAGCGGACCUCAUAAAGUGCGUCGUAGUCCGGAUUGGAGUCUGCAACUCGACUCCAUGAAGUCGGAAUCGCUAGUAAUCGUGGAUCAGAAUGCCACGGUGAAUACGUUCCCGGGCCUUGUACACACCGCCCGUCACACCAUGGGAGUGGGUUGCAAAAGAAGUAGGUAGCUUAACCUUCGGGAGGGCGCUUACCACUUUGUGAUUCAUGACUGGGGUGAAGUCGUAACAAGGUAACCGUAGGGGAACCUGCGGUUGGAUC
rnacentral:rRNA from 1 species